UGACACUGGAAAUAGAUUCACGCAUGUAUACCCAUGUAUUAUAGUAUAGCACACCGGAACAAAGCCCUAAAAUUUUUGAGAUUGGUUGACGACUUCCUAUGCGGAACCACUACCGACCGCUACCGCGACCACAGGGGAAACGGCUGUUCUUUUUGUUUCCCCUGAUCACAUCGUCGUCGCGAUAGUCGGUAGAGAGGCAAGGGAGCAUGCGUCGCAAGCACACCCAUUCUUAUUGCGGUGAACGCGCGCAGAGUAUUUUAAACAUUUCAUCGAUUUUGUCAAUCUUGAAAUGGGGAGGGACUGGGGCGUAAGUGUUACGACGUUCGUUUCGUUUUCAUUUGUCGUUUUUCUUUCGUUCAUUUUUUAAAUGUUUGUUUCAUUGGAUUGGAAACUCACGUGCCAUCGCGCGAUGCGAGCGUGUAUAUCAUGUAUUUCGUAUGAGGGGACAUCCACAAUUCUUACUAUACGUACGUGUGGUUACGUAGGGAUGUGUAUAGUGAAGGUGGGCUGCCGUUUCCAGAGAGGUGAGGUCGUGGAACGUCUGCGAAUUUUCCACAGAGAAAUUUUGUAGUUAAUUGUAAAAAUCCAACUACUUUUUUAAAGAGGAAAAUGCAUGCACGAGAACGACCUAUUGUUCAGUUAGAUGGUAACCGCUAGCAUAACGUGUGCGUGUGCGUGUGCGUGUGUGUGUGUUUGAGCGUGUGCGUGUGUGUGUGUGUGCGUGCGUGCGUGCGUGCGUGCGUGCGUGCGUGCGUGUGUGUGUUUGAGCGUGUGCGUGUGUGCGGGUUUGUACGCGCGCGGGUGUAUGAAAAGAUACAACUAACACAAUUACUAGUUUAAUAUUGGUCUUAUAAUGACAAGUAAUAUAAUAUCAGUUGUCUAAA